CUUUCCACUGACCAGGACCCCCAGGUCCCUUUCCGUGGCACUGCUUUCCAGCCUCUCGUUCCCCAGUCUGUCCGUACAUGCAGGGAUGGCCUGGAUGUUCCAGGUGCAGAAUCUGGCACUUUCCCUGGCUGAACUACUGAAUGCUGGACAUUUUGUCCAGAAGGAUACUACGAGAGACAGUAUCAAAAGCUUUACCGAAAUCCAAAAAUAUUACAUCAACUGGCUUCCCUUGAUCAAAUAGGUGGGUUACCAGGAACUGUCCCCUCGGGUCCAGCAGCUCUCCAUGAGCAGAUUUCUACAGCACCAGCAGGAGAGAAGCUGUAAUCUUCCAGAAGUCUCCAGACUUGCCUGACAAACACAACACUCACUAGUUUUUAUAUGUAAGCCCCAAAUAAAAAUGUGGGACACAGUGCAUGAAACAAAAAGCAUUCGCACCAAAUCCCUAGCCAGCUAGAAGGAAUGCUUUUACAGAACAGUGUCACAACAGCUGGCUGUCACAAAAACAACCUGUCUUUUUAACAGCCAUCUCAGAUGCUGGAGGUAUUCUGUAUGUUGCAGUUAAUAGAGACUCGAGAGAGCUAACAAAAAGCUUUUAUUUUUUCCACUGAUGGCCCAACACAAUCACAGACAUAAUUUCUCAUCAGAUCAUGCUGUGAAGCUUAUCUCUUAAAAGGAUUCCCUGAAGAAACGCAACAAAAAGUUCAGCUCUGAGAUGCACUACACUGAAAACUGACUUCCUGAGAAAGAUGGAGAUUUGGUUUGGUUUGUAGAUUUUCAUUAUUGUGAUCAUCUCUCCAUAGUACUGGAUUUCAUGAUAAAAGCUGGUUUAUAAACGAUUUCACAUUAAUGCAAAAUGCAGUAGGUAUGAUUAGUAAUCUAAGACAGGGCGUCAGAUCCAAAGAAGGAUUUGCAUGGAUUUUAGGUAUGACAUUACGCUUUCAAGAGAUUGAAUGUUUAAUUGAAACACUGUUUAGAUUCACAGCACUUUCUCAUUCUCUCCUUCAAGGUGUGUUUGCACAAUUGUUUGCCAGGAUGUUGUGAACUAGAUCAAAGAACUGGUCUAGCUUUAAAAAACUGAAGUUUUUGUGUUUCACAGAGAGCAGGAAUAAUCAUAGGAUUUUACUGCUUUUAUGUUGUUGAUACAUGGCAUACAUCAGAAAAUGUCUUCCAGAAAAUUACUGAGCACUUUGUACAUGUGCCCAGAAUUCUGCCAGACCAGAACAGGAGAGUAAGCUCCUGUCUUUGCUGACACUCAGAAGUGGGUGGAUGAGUGCCGAAAUCUCCUGGGGACUUCAGACCAGCCAAAAUUCACAGAGAGAUGCUGUAGAUGUGUUGGUGUAACAGUCUGAUGGUCAACAGCCUCACCCAGUUAGUGUGAGGCUAGAUUUGCUUCAGCCCAGGCAGACUGAAAUCUCUUUCUCACCUCUCAAGAGAAUGGUACGUUCAAUAGGGAAAAGAUGGAUUCUUAAAGGAAAUUGGGUUGAUGUGCAGGCAAGAAUGUAAGAGCCAUGGAGCUAGACAGACAGUGAGGCAGAAAAGGAUGUUAUUCUGUGGAAAAAGAAGGUCAGCCUUAUCAAUGAGGGUUACAUUCUUUACAUAAAACUGGUUGCACUAAAAAACAAGGGAGUAAUACAACAAGCAAAUCCUCAAAUCAUGAAUUCUUCCCAUCUCAGCUGGGGCUGUGGGGUUGGGCAUGAGGGCUUUAGCCUCAUGUGGGUUUCAGCAAUACAGUGUCCAACCCCUUGUGUUUUUAAGCUCAUAAACUAAUCUCAUUUGUUACUGUUUUGAUGCUUUAAACUCUGAUACUCUGAUAUCCUUUGAUAAUCAAUGGUUUUGCAACAGUAUUUUGGCAAACGGUUACUAUGUGAGUUGAGAAAUACACUGUCCUGGGCUGAGGUAAAUCACCUAGCUGAACAUGCAAAAAAAGAUCAGCAAAUGCAGUUUAUAACAGCAGCUUAUAUAAUGUCUGAAACCUUGGAAAAGCAAUUAUAGUCAUGACAGAACCUUUUUUUACAAAUUAAGUUUACUUGCAGGUCUCAAGGUUCAGAAAUCUUUUCUGUACACAGAUUUUUACAUUAUCAGUGUGCCAUGGUGGGGUACAACUUUUUACGAAAAGUAUUUCUUCCUGCUGAGAAGACACAAACCCCGAGCCAUGACCACGCCAGUUUGCUGAGUUUGCAGAUAUGUAUGGGUAGUAUAAAGUUGUGACUGUAAGGAAUUCUCUAAAAGAGAAAAACAGAAUCUGAAAAUAGGAAUUUAGAAACUAUUUGAAAUAAGCAGUGUAUUGCCAUCAAACUUCCUUUUAUUCCAAAGGUCAUCCUAUUACAAUGUUGUUUAGUCUCUUUGGAAAGGAGACACUUUCAGAUAUAUUCUUUAGUUUUCUGGUCCCCAUAUAACAUUCCUUCUCCAGCCAUUUUUUCUUAACAUUCAUUUAUCUGAAUGUGCCUAUCUCUGAGCUCUCAAUACAGUUUUAGUUAUUUCUAAUCCUUCCAGUGUUUGAUUUGGGCUCUCCUUUAUAUGUACAGAUCCUGAUUAGAUCCUACUCCAAUAUCUCAACAAAAGUCACCUCUCGUAUACACAACCUCUCCUUGAUUGGAUGCUGCUAUAUAGUACUCUUAUUCCAGAGUGUCCUGGUCUGCAGUGAGACUUUUAGCCUAUUACUUACCUUCUGCUGCAGUUAUCUGAAGCUGUAAACUGGGACAUCACUAUUGACCUCCAUGUAAAAUCCUUUUGAAAUGAAAGUAGCAUCAGAAUUUAUUGAUAGGGAAUGUACUGGCACCGUGCAUUUAAUCCUACUGGUCAAGUGUUAAGAGAUAAAUUGCUUAAAAAGUAGGAAGAGUUACAGUCUUAGCACUGGAGAAGGGUGUGGAUGAUGGUGAUGGCAGAAAGAAGCUGACAAACUGUGAGAUGAAGCAUUCCUUUCCUUACAGGAAGACUGGAAGCAGUACAGCUAAGGUUUCUAAGACAUCACAUCACAGGCAGUUUCAAUCCCAUUACUAAUGGUUACUAAUGUAACCAUUUGAGCUCACAUUUUGCAUAAUUUGACUCUCAUUCUAUAUAUAUGAAUUCCAGCAAACCCACUGCAGUCCUAUUGAAAAUGCAAUUUUAAGAAACACUUUUUUUGAAGUUAAAUUUUUCUCUCUAUUUUUAAAAUCUACAACUUUUUUAUGCUUUAGAGCAGGGACUCAGUUUUUGGCAGGAGAACAGCUCCUUUCUGGUUUUCCUUUGGCUGUCAAAAUGAAGAUCUAACAAGAGUUGACUGAAACAGACUCUGGUAGAGUCAGCAGCAACAUAUGUGAAAGAAAACGUGCUGCUAAAUCCAGUGUGCCCCAAUGGCUGCGUCUGCAGCCAUGAAAUAGAGGGUUGUGCCCUGACCUCUGUGCAGGUGCAGGAGUGAGGGUCAGGCAACACAUUUAAAUGCAUUGUUCUAAAAUUCAGGGCCCAGCACAUGCUAAAAGCCAGUGGCAGUGCAAAAUGGGGAGCAGAGGGGGAAAGAAGACUUUUAUUAUUGCACCAUUUGGAUUUUUUACAUUUGUGUACUUGCAAAGAUGCUUUUCCAGGUUACAGUCCUUAUGAAGUCCUUGUUACCCUUAAAAGUUAUAAUCAGUUGGUUACAACAUCUGGCAGCAUGAAAAUCAAGGACUUGGCACAACACUACCCAUGACAUUCCAGGGAUACCAGGGAUGCUCUUCAUACACUGUAUCUUCAAACAAAUGUAUGCCAAUGCAGAGCUGUUUGUCUGUCUGCCAAACAGAAACCUCCUCAAGUGCUGCAGGACUGUACCAUGAGGAAUGGGCAACUUUGAGAAGGAAAUUGGGCCACAUUAAUUCCCUGUGCAAUGGCAAAAUACGCUCAGAGAGUGCCUGAAGUUGACUGACACAACAUGCCAAGCAUGUGGAAGUUGAAAAUCAGCACUUUCCAUUGCUGGGAAAGAGGAUGUAGCCGCAGCACGCUGCCAUUUGUAUUUGCUUCCUUGCUUAUUUCUUUCUGUAUCUGUUCUUCAAAAGUCCUACAUCCACCCAUGUAGAUGGAUGGGGUUUUCUAAAUCUAUUUUGUUCUGCUGUAUAUUAAAAUCUGCUGCAUUUUAAAAUUGAUCCUCUGUGAAAUGUUUUCUAGAGCUUCCUCUAGAAAUUUUUGCAAUUCCCUGACAAGCAGCAUACUGGCCAGGGUGAUAAUAUUAAAUAAAACAUUAAACGCUCUUGAAAA